rnacentral:rRNA from 1 species
CCAAUAGCGUAUAUUAAAGUUGUUGCAGUUAAAAAGCUCGUAGUUGAAUUUCGGGGUCAGCAGGUUGGUCGUGCCUCUGGUACGCACUGGUUUCGCUGAUUCCUCCUUUCUGAAGAACUGUAAUGUCAUUAAUUUGGUGUUGCAGGGAAACAGGACUGUUACUUUGAAAAAAUUAGAGUGUUUAAAGCAAGCUAACGCUUGAAUACAUUAGCAUGGAAUAAUGAAAUAGGACGUUUGAUCCUAUUUUGUGGGUUUCUAGGAUUGACGUAAUGAUUAAUAGGGAUAGUUGGGGGCAUUAGUAUUCAAUUGUCAGAGGUGAAAUUCUUGGAUUUAUUGAAGACUAACUACUGCGAAAGCAUUUGCCAAGGAUGUUUUCAUUAAUCAAGAACGAAAGUUAGGGGAUCGAAGACGAUCAGAUACCGUCGUAGUCUUAACCAUAAACUAUGCCGACUAGGGAUCGGAUGAUGUUAAUUUUUUAAUGACUCAUUCGGCGCCUUACG